AACGUAGGAGACGAGCGUUAUCCGGAUUUACUGGGCGUAAAGCGUGUGCAGGCGGUUCGGCAAGUUGGAUGUGAAAUCUCCCGGCUCAACUGGGAGGGGUCGUUCAAAACUACCGAACUUGAGGGCAUCAGAGGAAGGUGGAAUUCCGGGUGUAGUGGUGAAAUGCGUAGAUAUCCGGAGGAACACCAGUGGCGAAGGCGGCCUUCUGGGAUGCUCCUGACGCUCAGACACGAAAGCUAGGGGAGCGAACGGG
rnacentral:rRNA from 1 species